GUUGAACGCUGGCGGCGGGCCUAACACAUGCAAGUCGAGCGGGGCGGCGGACGGGUGGGUAAUGCAUAGGAAUCUGCCUGGUCGUGGGGGAUAACGUCCGGACACGGGCGCUAAUAACGCAUCGUAUCAGCUGAGCCUCGGUUGGAUUAGCUAGUUGGUGGGGUAAAGGCCUACCAAGGCGACGAUCCGUAACUCGUCUGAGAGGAUGAUCAGCCACACUGGAACUGAGACACGGUCCAGACUCCUACGGGAGGCAGCAGUGGGGAAUAUUGGACAAUGGGCGAAGGCCGGACCAAGCCAUUCCGCGGGUGUGAAGAAGGUCUUCGGAUUGUAAAGCACUUUAAGAUGGAAGGCGUUACCAACAGAAUAAGCACCGGCUAACUUCGUGCCAGCAGCCGCGGUAAUAC
rnacentral:rRNA from 1 species